rnacentral:rRNA from 1 species
AGAGUUUGACCCUGGCUCAGGACGAACGCUGGCGGCACGCUUAACACAUGCAAGUCGAACGAGAGAAGAGGAGCUUGCUUUUCUGAUCUAGUGGCGGACGGGUGAGUAACACGUGAGCAAUCUGCCUUUCAGAGGGGGAUACCGAUUGGAAACGAUCGUUAAUACCGCAUAACAUAAUUGAACCGCAUGAUUUGAUUAUCAAAGAUUUAUCGCUGAAAGAUGAGCUCGCGUCUGAUUAGCUAGUUGGUAAGGUAACGGCUUACCAAGGCGACGAUCAGUAGCCGGACUGAGAGGUUGAUCGGCCACAUUGGGACUGAGACACGGCCCAGACUCCUACGGGAGGCAGCAGUGGGGAAUAUUGCACAAUGGAGGAAACUCUGAUGCAGCGAUGCCGCGUGAGGGAAGAAGGUUUUAGGAUUGUAAACCUCUGUCUUCAGGGACGAAAAAAGACGGUACCUGAGGAGGAAGCUCCGGCUAACUACGUGCCAGCAGCCGCGGUAAUACGUAGGGAGCGAGCGUUGUCCGGAAUUACUGGGUGUAAAGGGAGCGUAGGCGGGAUCGCAAGUCAGAUGUGAAAACUAUGGGCUUAACCCAUAAACUGCAUUUGAAACUGUGGUUCUUGAGUGAAGUAGAGGUAAGCGGAAUUCCUAGUGUAGCGGUGAAAUGCGUAGAUAUUAGGAGGAACAUCAGUGGCGAAGGCGGCUUACUGGGCUUUAACUGACGCUGAGGCUCGAAAGCGUGGGGAGCAAACAGGAUUAGAUACCCUGGUAGUCCACGCCGUAAACGAUGAUUACUAGGUGUGGGGGGACUGACCCCUUCCGUGCCGCAGCAAACGCAAUAAGUAAUCCACCUGGGGAGUACGACCGCAAGGUUGAAACUCAAAGGAAUUGACGGGGGCCCGCACAAGCAGUGGAGUAUGUGGAUUAAUUCGAAGCAACGCGAAGAACCUUACCAGGUCUUGACAUCGUAUGCAUAGCUCAGAGAUGAGUGAAAUCUCUUCGGAGACAUAUAGACAGGUGGUGCAUGGUUGUCGUCAGCUCGUGUCGUGAGAUGUUGGGUUAAGUCCCGCAACGAGCGCAACCCUUACUGUUAGUUGCUACGCAAGAGCACUCUAGCAGGACUGCCGUUGACAAAACGGAGGAAGGUGGGGAUGACGUCAAAUCAUCAUGCCCCUUAUGACCUGGGCCUCACACGUACUACAAUGGCUGUCAACAGAGGGAAGCAAAGCCGCGAGGUGGAGCGAACCCCUAAAAGCAGUCUUAGUUCGGAUUGUAGGCUGCAACCCGCCUACAUGAAGUCGGAAUUGCUAGUAAUCGCAGAUCAGCAUGCUGCGGUGAAUACGUUCCCGGGCCUUGUACACACCGCCCGUCACGCCAUGGGAGUCGGUAACACCCGAAGCCUGUAGUCUAACCGCAAGGAGGACGCAGUCGAAGGUGGGAUUGAUGACUGGGGUGAAGUCGUAACAAGGUA